CAAAAACAUAGCCAAUAGUUAUUAUUAUUGGUUUUUUCUGCUCAAUGAAUUUUAAAUAGCCGCAGUACUCUGACUGUGCAAAGGUAGCAUAAUAAAUUGGCUUAUAAUUGAAGUCUAGUAUGAAAGAAGUAAUGGGGACUAACUUUAUUAUUGGUGUAAUUAAAAAUUACUUAGCAAGUGCAAAUUCUUGCAGUUAAUUAAUAGACGAGAAGACCCUAGAAAUUUUAAGAAAUUGUGAUUAAAGAUUUUUGUUGGGGCAACAGUGUAACAAGUAAUUUACAUUAAGUAACAAGAAACAAAAUUGAUAGAUUAAAUUACUCUAGGGAUAACAGCGUAAUGUAUUAACGAUUGCGACCUCGAUGUUGGACUAGGAUACGAAAGCUUAGAAGGCUAGCUGUAAUGCUCUGUUCGAGCA
rnacentral:rRNA from 1 species